UUUAAGGGUCCUGAAGGAACGUUGAAGACGACGACGUUGAUAGGCCGGGUGUGUAAGCGCAGCGAUGCGUUGAGCUAACCGGUACUAAUGAACCGUGAGGCUUAACCUUACAACGCCGAAGGUGUUU
rnacentral:rRNA from 1 species